GUGGGGAAUAUUGCGCAAUGGCCGCAAGGCUGACGCAGCGACGCCGCGUGUGGGAUGAAGGCCUUCGGGUUGUAAACCACUGUCGGGAGGGACGAAUACCUGGCUUCGAAUAGUUGACCAGGGGUGACGGUACCUCCAAAGGAAGCACCGGCUAACUCCGUGCCAGCAGCCGCGGUAAUACGGAGGGUGCGAGCGUUGUCCGGAAUCACUGGGCGUAAAGAGCGCGUAGGCGGCAGUUUAAGUCAUUUGUGAAAUGCCGGGGCUCAACUCCGGAACUGCACGUGAGACUGGACAGCUAGAGAACGGUAGAGGCGAGCGGAAUUCCCGGUGUAGCGGUGGAAUGCGUAGAUAUCGGGAAGAACACCAGAGGCGAAGGCGGCUCGCUGGGCCGAUGCUGACGCUGAGGCGCGAAAGCGUGGGUAGCAAACAGG
rnacentral:rRNA from 1 species